UGUCAUCUGGCAAAGUGACACGUGCAUUUCAUUUACUCUCCCUGUGGCUUUUAAACAUAAUUUUUGUACACAGGUGGAACCACAAGUGUUUGUAAUGAAUAACAUUUUCACAACUAUAAAUAUAUAUAUAUAGAUGUAGAUAUACCUAUAUGAUAUAGAUGAGAUAGAAGACAGAUACAUGGAUGGAUGGAUGGAUAGAUAGAUAGAUAGAUAGAUAGAUAGAUAGAUAGAUAGAUAGAUAGAUAGAUAGAUAUAGAUAGAUAGAUAGAUAGAUAGAUAGAUAGAUAGAUAGAGAGGGAUGGAUGGAUGGACAGAUGGACAGGCAGAUAAAUGGAUAGACAGACAUGUGUAUAAGAAGAUAUUGGUUUAAAAUAUUGUGAAAUGCAUAUGAAUCUUCAAAAAUUGUCAAUUUUUAUUUUUUCAACAUAAGGUUCCUUAUGGAAAAGGUAGCAUGGAGACUUCUUUAACACUGAGAACCUUAGAACUGAAUAGACACAAAAUCACAAGGAACUUUAAAUUGUAAUGUGAUUUCCUGACAUAGAAUCAGAAACCUUCACACACUUCUGUGAAGCCAGACAUCUUUGAAGGAUACAGAGGACACACAGCUAUCAAUAUAUACAGCAUCUUUAGGUAUCUGGAUCCAACCAUCAGGAGCUCUAAGCACUGACCCGCAAUGGCUGCCUGCCUCAGUUUGCACACCAGAUGGAUGCCAGUGCUGGUCUCUGUCAGGAAAGUACACAGAUUUCCUAAUGGUGCUUUCAACAUUAGUUCCUAUUAGAGUAUGUAACUGAAGAGGUAUCAGAGAUAACUCUUAUGUUUCUUUAACGUGAUAGAUGUUCCUCAUAUUUUUCUAAAUUUAGAAAUAUCUUGAACAUUGUGCCAUGUAAAGUAUUGAUUAUCGUUCAUGUGCAUGUUUUAACUUCUGCGAUUUAUUUAUUGACUUUUAAAGCUUCUAAUUUCAACACUAACUUCCAAACGGCAACAGAAGAAAAGUAAAACAACAUUAGUGGCAGAAGAAUAAUUUGGAUCAUGUGCGUUGGAAUAGAGGUACUGAACAGAACCACUCGAGUGGGAAGGGCCCAGGUCACCAUCAAGGAGACUAAAGCUGGGGUAGGAAGAGCAUGAGACGGUCUCAGAGAUGCCUGAAGCCUUGGAGGAGCUGAAUGGUAGAGUUUCUUUGUAUCUUCCAGAGGAGAAGAAACCAUCAUCCAGAAUCCUUGUGACAAGGACUCGCUUGCGAUUGAGCAAGUGUCAUGUUGCCUGUCAUCUGAAAGGCAGCAGAGAAGCAUUAUCAUGGUGUCCCCACGCUAAAAACAAAAUGCAAGUCUCUGGGCAUGCUGGUAGCAUCCCACACUCCCCCUGACCUGCUGGCUCAUUCUGCUGCAUAGGACAUCAUUUGCAAUUGGAACUCCUCAGUCUCCACCAGUGGUUCUUCAAGUCUCAAGUCAUGUACAUUUUCAGAUCAUUGAGCUCCUCUGCAGGAUACUGGUGCUACUAAGGCUGGAGACGGUAAGACAUGUGCACCUCCAGUGUGUCCUCAAAGGCUUCAGUCCUUCAUGAGUUCUCAUCUUUCUCUCAUGAGGCCUGCAGUUAGCAUUACCUUCAUGGUUCUCAUCUUUCUUGCUAUCCUCUAUGACCGGAGAUCUACUCAGACUGCCAUUCUAGCAGGUCCUCAAUGAGGUUCAGGCUCAAAACGAGAACCAAGGAUAGUGACUGAUGGUGCUGGAGGAUAGAAAACAUCCAAUAGCCAGCAACAUAGAAACUUCACAGGACUCUGUGGAUUGUGUGGAUGACAGUGCACAUCCUUUAAAUCUAAUCUCCAGGUUUCAGUGACUUCUGUUUGCUACAGUGAAUGGUGUGAGCCUUGUCUAGUUUACUACCAGGCACAGAUGGAGUUCUUAGAACUCCCUUUGAAAACAUUUAGACAUGUGUAGAAAUCAGGAAGUAAAGAUUGAGUGUUUUGAAAGACACGAGUCCUGCCAAUGGAACUAUGCAAGCCCACGACAUUCUCCUUUCCUUCAUGUUUAUCUUUGCCUUCCUUUGAAGAAUGACUUACAGCAAGUAACUUGCCUUCCAAAGCCUCUGACUUACAGAUCCAUAAAGAAAACUAUGAAUUUUAGAUUUCAAGUACUAAGUAUUAGUCAGAGUGCUUCAAAAAAAUAAAAGAAAUAGAACCAA
ensembl:lncRNA